rnacentral:rRNA from 1 species
UACGAAGGUGGCAAGCGUUGUUCGGAUUUACUGGGCGUAAAGGGAGCGUAGGUGGUUAGGUAAGCCCUCCGGGAAAUCUUCAGGCUUAACCUGAAAAGGUCGGGGGGGACUGCCUAGCUAGAGGGCGGGAGAGGAGCGCGGAAUUCCCGGUGUAGCGGUGAAAUGCGUAGAGAUCGGGAGGAAGGCCGGUGGCGAAGGCGGCGCUCUGGAACGUUUCUGACACUGAGGCUCGAAAGCGUGGGGAGCAAACAGGG